UACGAAGGGUGCAAGCGUUAAUCGGAAUUAUUGGGCGUAAAGAGCUCGUAGGCGGUCUGUUGCGUCCGCUGUGAAAACUCGGGGCUUAACCCCGAGCCUGCAGUGGAUACGGGCAGACUAGAGGUAGGUAGGGGAGAAUGGAAUUCCCGGUGUAGCGGUGAAAUGCGCAGAUAUCGGGAGGAACACCGGUGGCGAAGGCGGUUCUCUGGGCUUUACCUGACGCUGAGGAGCGAAAGCGUGGGGAGCGAACAGG
rnacentral:rRNA from 1 species